AACCACAGGGUAAAAAGGGUCGUCCUGGAGAAGAUGGUAGUCCAGGAACUAAAGGACAAAAGGGAGAGAGCGGAUUCAGCGGUCCUCCUGGACGAGACGGGACAGAGGGGAAACCUGGAUACAAAGGAGAAAAGG